CUUAUAUUAUGGAACGGAGGGAGU
rnacentral:miRNA from 1 species